UUUCUUGCUCGCUCUCAGAACUGCACUUGCCCUCGCGCUCGGAGUUUGCACGUUAAAACAGUGCCAAAAGUCGUCGACCAAUCAGAAUGUUUUUGGCUUCGACCAAUGAGCCCCAACUUCCCCUGCAUUUUCAUUGGUCGGAGAGAGUGAACCGUUGUGAAGACAAAUGGACAAUCAACGACCUCAGUGCUCGAGAAAAAGCCACAUACAAUGACAGCUUUCCCCUGGUGCAUCUAUUGUAGCUGAGAUUCCCCCACCAGAAUCCAGCAAGGAAGCAAGUAGUGUUAGAACAACAAUCAGUGAGCUGUUGUAAAAAUAUGAUUGACUACACUUCUCUAAAUACAUUUGCAGAGUGGCUAAUGCAGACUUUACCACCUAUAUGGUUGAGACAGCUGGUUCGCCCUCUCUUUGUCCAAGAACAUUCUUUCAAUGGCUCACAGGACAGGAACACAUCAGACCAGUUCGUCUGUGGAUAUUUGUGCCCAUUCAAUAAAUAAAU